UACAGAGACCUCAAGCGUCGUCCGGAUUUAUUGGGCGUAAAGCGUCCGCAGAUGGUCUGUUAAGUUCUUCGUUAAAUCUUUGGGCUCAACCCAAAGGCCGCGGGGAAAACUGACAGGCUAGAGGAUGGGAGAGGCAAGCGGAAUUGCCGGUGUAGUAGUAAAAUGCGUUAAUAUCGGCAAGAACACCGAAGGCGAAAGCAGCUUGCUGGAACAUUCCUGACAUUAAGGGACGAAAGCACGGGGAGCGAAGCGG
rnacentral:rRNA from 1 species